rnacentral:rRNA from 1 species
CGGGUAGAGUAACACGUGAGGAAUCUGCCUUUGAGCGGGGACAACAUUUGGAAACGAAUGCUAAUACCGCAUAAAAACUUUAAACACAAGUUUUAAGUUUGAAAGAUGCAAUUGCAUCACUCAAAGAUGAUCCCGCGUUGUAUUAGCUAGUUGGUGAGGUAAAGGCUCACCAAGGCGAUGAUACAUAGCCGACCUGAGAGGGUGAUCGGCCACAUUGGGACUGAGACACGGCCCAAACUCCUACGGGAGGCAGCAG